AUGAACGCUGGCGGCGUGCCUCAUCCCUGCCAGUCGCGCGAACAGACGAGGAGCUUGCUCCUCUGAUGUUAGCGGCGGACGGGUGAGUAACACGUGGAUAACCUACCUAUAAGACUGGGAUAACUUCGGGAAACCGGAGCUAAUACCGGAUAACAUGUUGAACCGCAUGGUUCAACAGUGAAAGACGGUCUUGCUGUCACUUAUAGAUGGAUCCGCGCCGCAUUAGCUAGUUGGUAAGGUAACGGCUUACCAAGGCAACGAUGCGUAGCCGACCUGAGAGGGUGAUCGGCCACACUGGAACUGAGACACGGUCCAGACUCCUACGGGAGGCAGCAGUAGGGAAUCUUCCGCAAUGGGCGAAAGCCUGACGGAGCAACGCCGCGUGAGUGAAGAAGGUCUUCGGAUCGUAAAACUCUGUUAUUAGGGAAGAACAAAUGUGUAAGUAACUAUGCACGUCUUGACGGUACCUAAUCAGAAAGCCACGGCUAACUACGUG
rnacentral:rRNA from 1 species